UGCAAGUCGAGCGGAAACGAUGGAAGCUUGCUUCCAGGCGUCGAGCGGCGGACGGGUGAGUAAUGCAUAGGAAUCUGCCCGGUAGUGGGGGAUAACUCGGGGAAACUCGAGGCUAAUACCGCAUACGUCCUACGGGAGAAAGUGGGCUUUUGCUCACGCUAUCGGAUGAGCCUAUGUCAGAUUAGCUAGUUGGUGGGGUAAAGGCUCACCAAGGCGACGAUCUGUAGCUGGUCUGAGAGGAUGAUCAGCCACACUGGGACUGAGACACGGCCCAGACUCCUACGGGAGGCAGCAGUGGGGAAUAUUGGACAAUGGGGGCAACCCUGAUCCAGCCAUGCCGCGUGUGUGAAGAAGGCUUUCGGGUUGUAAAGCACUUUCAGCGAGGAGGAAAGCGGUGUUGUUAAUACCAGCAUCGUGUGACGUUACUCGCAGAAGAAGCACCGGCAAACUCCGUGCCAGCAGCCGCGGUAAUACGGAGGGUGCGAGCGUUAAUCGGAAUUACUGGGCGUAAAGCGUGCGUAGGUGGUUAAGUAAGCCAGAUGUGAAAGCCCCGGGCUUAACCUGGGAACGGCAUCUGGAACUGCUUAACUAGAGUGCAGUAGAGGAAGGUAGAAUUCCACGUGUAGCGGUGAAAUGCGUAGAUAUGUGGAGGAAUACCAGUGGCGAAGGCGGCCUUCUGGACUGACACUGACACUGAGGUACGAAAGCGUGGGGAUCAAACAGGAUUAGAUACCCUGGUAGUCCACGCCGUAAACGAUGUCUACUAGCCGUUGGGCUCCUUGAGAGCUUAGUGGCGCAGCUAACGCAAUAAGUAGACCGCCUGGGGAGUACGGCCGCAAGGUUAAAACUCAAAUGAAUUGACGGGGGCCCGCACAAGCGGUGGAGCAUGUG
rnacentral:rRNA from 1 species